GACCAACAUGAGCGAGCAGAAUCACUGAAAACAGAACAUCCACCGGCUGUGUGGAGAAGGCAUCAGAGAAUGCUGAGGACUGGCGCAGAGAGAAACGAAAGCAUAACUGCAAGACAGACUUGGCCAGAGAUAUCCAUAGCACUGUUAUUCAUAAUAUCUCAAAACUAGAACAAUCCGAAUGUCCACGGACUGGUCAAUGCUAACGCCUGCCAGUGCUCAGAUUUGACCCCGAGUGAACGCAUACAUUGCCUGUUCCUGAACCUAAGACGCAUUGAGGAAUAGCUGUGGCCCAGCAGACAUGCAUAUGAGUGCACUCCGUAUUCUGUCUUCAUCCUUUUGCAAGAUCUACCCUGCCGGCUCCUUCUCUGGUUUGUGGGCCCCUAAGGUGUCCUGGCAGCUCAAGGCUGAAGCCAACACCCCAAUUUGCAGUUUUCAGGACAACUUAAUUCCUUAGGCAGUGAAGGUCAUGUAACGCCUGACUAAUUUAUUCUCUCUUAUUCUGAAAAUUGGGGAAGUUUUUAUUAAAUUCCUUGCAACAGGA